GUCUCUCUCGAUACCACCCUGAGAAAUCCCAUCUUGUCUGAUUUUGGAAGCUAAGCAGAGUUCGGGCUGGUUAGUACUGGGACAGGAGACCGUCCUGGCAGUGUCUCGGUGGUGAGGACA
rnacentral:rRNA from 1 species